UAGUAAGGUAAGUUGUUAUUUUUUCCUCUAUAACAUUCACAUGUCUCGACCUGUCAGCCCCUGGUGACUUGGCAACGUAUUCGGAAUGAUCUUGUUGAAUGAAGGUAUUUCUACCAAGUCAGUACAUACAUCAGCCUUCCUGCCGUAGCCCUCUCCACUGAUCACCUCCGGGCUCAUCCAGUAGGGGGUGCCGGUCACUGAGCGGAUGCCGGUGCCAGACAUACAGAUGGUCUGAAGCCUCUUGCUGGCACCGAAAUCUCCAAGCUUCACGUUGCCUGCUGAAUCCCGCAGGAUGUUGGCACCUGAGAGCCAGAGUUGACACAGAACAGAUAAAUAUUUUAUCCCACCAAUCAUCUUCCACACGUGGACUGUCAGGAUCAAACUGGACUUGCUUGGCGGCCAGCUCUCUCCCUGUAUCCACAUCGUAACACAGUUCAGCUAAAUCACCACUCACACUUAUGGGCAACAGAACGGUCCUGAGGACGGAGCCUUCCCUGGGCAUCGACGAGCUGCCAGCUGCCCAGACUCUCCUCGCUGCCAUUGAGCGACCGACGUGAAGGCACGAGAGUGAACAGGUUCCCCUGGGGGCGACGAAUCCGAGGAAAUGUUCGACGACCUGAGGGAGAUCGAGAGAGAAGUUGGUUGGCGGUUAAUCACAUGAUG